GGGGGUUAGGACAAAAUGAUCAAAUUUAUAGUAGAUCUGAAAAAAGUGCAAACAAAUGCAGUGCUUUAAGCAAAAGAUGUCAUAUUCUUAAACUCAGUUAUGUCAUGCCAUUUUUUUUUUUAAUUACUCGGUAGCUUUUUUGGGCCCCUGAUCUCUUUUUCCUGUGAGCGUUAAGAGAGACACCGCUUCAGCUCCAUGCGUGAGGUUACAGGGAAACGUACCCUCCCUGGGCCCCAGACAGGGGGGUUUUGGAGCCCACUUCCUUCCAUUUUCUUUCACUGGCUUCUCCAGGCAGAGCCAGACAUGGCUUAAAAUGCGUUUCCAUCCCAGACUGGCUCUGUGACCUCAGCCAACCUCUCUGCAUGUUCUUUUUCUCACCUGGAGGGUGAUGGACAGAUAAUCCUUGAAAUGCCCUUCCAGCGCUCACAUUUUAGGAGUCUGCCUUCCCCACAGAUACUCAGAUUCCUGAGGGAGCAAAACUUCUUACUGGGUCACUUGAUAACUCCAGCUUUUACUGAUCUCUUAUCUGCUUUUGUUUUGUUUAGUUCUCCUUUCCCAUUUAUGGUAUUUUUUUAUACUGCAAAAUUCGCACCUUCCUAUCACUGCUUCGUGCUAAUGCUUUAUGAUGUCCAUAUAUGUGCAGACCCACAUAUGCUUACCCACACACACUUCUAACACUGCCUUGUUCUACAUCUAGGUAUGACUUGCCUCACUGCGAUGGCAGAGGAUGAGUCAUUUAGUUCUCUUCCUCCAUCUAGCGCUUCGCACAUUAUCAACGCAAAGCAAAAGGCAGAAGGUCAACAAAAGAAACAUGAUACUCAAUGCAAAGAAAGGAUUCAUUAAGUACCUGCUUUCGAUGGGGCAUCAUGAAGACAUGUGAGCCGCCGUGAGAUUUCAAAUGAAAGAAAAGAUCAAGCAAGUAGCAUAGGUAAACUUGAGGAGUUAAAUAAAUGUUGAACUUGGUAGUGUUCCAUUGUUGGUGUUGAUCUUUCACGGGACCAGGAAUUGGUCAUUUCUAAGCCAUCAUUUCCUUUGCCGUUUGUCCACUUAGCAUGUGACCAUGAAGCUAUCAGCUGCACGGGGCAGGGGCCGCCCUGUCCCGCCCAUCCUCUGGGUCACCAGCACCCACCAUGGUGCCUGGCAUACAGUGGCUCAAUAGUUGUUGAGGCACUAAAACCAGACAAGUCACUUAACUGUUAUAUGCCUCCCUCGGUUUUCUCAUUUACAAAAUGGAAAUACUAGCAACCUCAUGAGAUCAGUAAGAUGAACACACAGAAUUAGGAUUUGAACAUUAAAAAGCAUUACACAAAGGCAUUUUAAUACUGGUAUAUCUACUAAAUAUGUUGGUUUACAUGGCAGGCUUCAGCCUCCCCUUUUGCUUUCAUUUUUCUUUUUGGCAUAAGUACAGUUAGUCCUUAAUCCUCUCAGACUGAUAAAUGAAUGUGCUUCCCCCAAAUAUCAGAAACCAAGAAUUGGCUAAAGUGCUGGAAUAAGUCUCAGGCUAGGAAAUAAAUGAGUUUAGAAUCCUCCAAAGGGAGGGAAAAAAGAAGCUUCUGAGUCAUAUGGUUAAACAAUGAAGAAUAGCCCCAUCAUCAUGAGCAAAUGUUUUCGGCGUUAGAUAUUUCAUGACCAUAUGAAGGCAAGGCCCCGUCUGGUCUCUUCCAAAUACUGUCUCCUAAUAACAAAUUCCACUGGCCCCCAAAAGAGGCACUCAGGGAGAUGAGGGGAAAUUAAAGAACAGCAUUGUUGGACCCUAUGUGCCUCUAAUUAAAUAAUGCCAUACCCAACCUUCCUGGCUGAAUCAGCCAUGUGAUUGGUGUUCUCAUGGACACAGUUUCCUUGGAGAUUUGUAACAAUGUCCCUGGUACCAAGCCAAUGGAGGUACUCAGCCCAUGACUAGCAUUUAAUCAAGGUCAUGGGAAAUUAUAUCAGGCCACGGGGGAUAGAAAACUAGAAGAGGUAAAUAAAAUGCACGGAAAACUGUCUAAUGCUUUUAAAAUGUGUUUCCUUGACUUCGUUUACAGAUCAUUCAAUACAUAAAGACAAGCGCAUGCCGAAUAGUUUUCCAACAACAUCUCACUUAAUGCUCAGAACCCUGCAAGCUGUUUUCAUUUCCAACCUAAGGAAACAAAGAGAUGGAAGAAAAUGUGGUACUUGGAUGGAGUGAGAACUGCCAGACCCGAGAGCCUGGGAAUAAGGUCAUAGGUCAAUUUUCCUGGGAGAGCUGCAACAAGGCUGUCUGCCCUAGUUUCUUCUCUACAACAAAGGAGAAGCAGCAUGAAAGUAACCAACGUUUGUUGAAUACGUCAGUGUAAGCAUGAACCACUGGAUACAGACCUACCAAGAAGAGAAGAAGAAUAAGCCAAGAAAAAAAGUGCAGUCCAUGGAGAUCCAGAGACCUGAGGAUGAGUUACAAUGGUGUUGCUCUAGGUGAAAAUAUGAAGAUGUGAGACUCACUCAGAGGAUAUGAAGGACUUCUCAAAUGGAUGAAAGAAAGGUGUUCUAGUGAAGAUACUGUUUUGAUAGAAAUUUUUAACCACGUAGAAAAGGGCUGCAUGCCUCAUUUGACUAAAACUAGUGCAUCUCAUGAAUUCUUGACUUGUCAAUAAAUAUUAAAAGACUGUUUGUCAACAGACAAAAGGAAGUGGUGAUUACUAGAACAAGUGAAGACAGACUAACCCAUUUCCUUCACGCAGACAUACUAGAUUGGCAGAUUAGAAGGCUGUGGGAGACAUCCUGUAUCUAGAUUUUAGCAAGGCAAUUAUUAAAGUUUUACAUGCUUUUGACUGACACACGGAAGAAAUUUAGAUUGGUUGAUAAUGCA